rnacentral:rRNA from 1 species
UUUGACUGGGGCGGUCUCCUCCCAAAGCGUAACGGAGGAGCACGAAGGUGGGCUAAUCACGGUUGGACAUCGUGAGGUUAGUGCAAUGGCAUAAGCCCGCUUGACUGCGAGAAUGACAAUUCGAGCAGGUGCGAAAGCAGGUCAUAGUGAUCCGGUGGUUCUGAAUGGAAGGGCCAUCGCUCAACGGAUAAAAGGUACUCCGGGGAUAACAGGCUGAUACCGCCCAAGAGUUCAUAUCGACGGCGGUGUUUGGCACCUCGAUGUCGGCUCAUCACAUCCUGGGGCUGAAGUCGGUCCCAAGGGUAUGGCUGUUCGCCAUUUAAAGUGGUACGCGAGCUGGGUUUAGAACGUCGUGAGACAGUUCGGUCCCUAUCUGCCGUGGGCGUUGGAGAAUUGAAAGGGGCUGCUCCUAGUACGAGAGGACCGGAGUGGACGAACCUCUGGUGUUCGGGUUGUGUCGCCAGACGCAUUGCCCGGUAGCUAAGUUCGGGAUCGAUAACCGCUGAAAGCAUCUAAGCGGGAAGCGAGCCUUGAGAUGAGUUCUCCCUGAUACUUUAAGUAUCCUAAAGGGUUGUCGUAGACUACGACGUUGAUAGGCAGGGUGUGUAAGCGUUGUGAGGCGUUGAGCUAACCUGUACUAAUUGCCCGUGAGGCUUAACCAU